rnacentral:rRNA from 1 species
AUGAAAAACAUAAAAUGGCCAGGAAACCCGUGUUGUUCUUUCUGCAGAGGGGUGGAGACAGCUCAACAUCUCUUUUUUACUUGCCCGGUGGCUGGGGUAGUCUGGCGAUCCAUCGGGGUGGUGCUGGGCACUGACAAAUGCCCCAAAAACUACUGGCAAUAUUUCGUAUGGUGUCACAAAUUUCUUCCUGGGAAGAAAUCUUUUUACACGGUGGGCCUAGCGGCCACCUGCUGGGCGAUUUGGUUGGCGUGCAAUCGAGCCACUUUUGAAAAGAAACAAAUUAAGACUCCCUUUGAGAUUGUGUUUUCUAUGUGCUCUUUUCUGCUCUAUUAGACAGGUUUACAACAAGGGGAUGCCGCCAGGGAGCUACGCACAGGAGCGGAGAUGAUCAGGGCUAGCACAAUGCAGCUGAUGAAGAUGUGUGAUGCCGCCAAGCAAACGAUAAAGGGUGCCUGA